CAUGUCUUUUUGAUUAUAAUUUAAGGUUUAAUCUGCACAAUGAAAAAUUAAAUUGCCGCAGUAUUUUGACUGUGCAAAGGUAGCAUAAUAAUUAGUUUCUUGAUUAGAAUCUGGUAUGAAUGAUUGGACGAGAAAAUAUCUGUCUCUUAUUAAAUUAUUUUUAAAUUUUAUUUUUAAGUUAAAAAGCUUAAAUGUUUAUAAAAGACGAGAAGACCCUAUAGAGUUUAAUAUUUGAGUUUAAUUAAUUAAUAGGAAUAAUUUUUAAAAUUAAGUAUUUAAUUGGGGUGAUUUAAAGAUUUAAAUAAUUCUUUAAAAUUUUAAUUGAUGAUAAUUAAGUUUAUAUUCUAAAUUUUUUAAAAUUAUAACUAAUUACCUUAGGGAUAACAGCGUAAUUUUUCUUUAAAGCUCUUAUUAAAAGAAGAUUUUGCGACCUCGAUGUUGGAUUAAAAUAAAUUUUUGGUGCAGUAACUUAAAAAUUAGGUCUGUUCGACCUUUAAUAUUUUACAUGAUCUGAGUUUAAACCGGUGUAAGCCAGGUUGGAUUCUAUCUUUAGUUUUAUUAUAUAUUUUAGUACGAAAGGACCAUAUAUAUAUUAAAUAUUAAUUG
rnacentral:rRNA from 1 species